AGAUUGGAAAUUUGCAUUUCUAGUGGAUUUUGUGUCGUCUCAAGAAUCAAAAGUAGAAUAAAAAAGUGAUUGUAAAAUUACAACAUAUGGCCGGCGCAGUGCGGUGGACAGUAGACUUCACACGAUAAAUUUAUAAUGGAGCUCACAUUUUCUGAUAAUCCUCUGACUGACUAGAGAAACCCGUGGGGCACUGUGUUUGAGCAUUGACUGCCUGCUGCUUUA
rnacentral:misc_RNA from 1 species